rnacentral:tRNA from 1 species
GGGAGUAUAGCUCAGUGGUAGAGUGCAUGCUUAGCAUGCAUGAGGUCCUGGGUUCAAUCCCCAGUACUUUCA